GACGAACGCUGGCGGCGUGCCUAAUACAUGCAAGUCGAACGCAGUGGGGCCGGGUGAGUAACACGUGGGUAACCUCCCCUCAGAGGGAGUAACCCUUUGAAACAGGUGCUAAACCGAUACUGCUGGAUGGAGCCGCGGUGCAUGAGCUAGUUGGGGAGGCAAAGGCUUACAAAGGCCACGAUGCGUAACCGGCCUGAGAGGGUGAUCAGCCACACUGGAACGGAGACACGGCCCAGACUCCUACGGGAGGCAGCAGUGGGGAAUAUUCGGCAAUGGACGAAAGUCUGACCGAGCCACGCCGCGUGAGUGAAGAAGGUUUUCGGAUCGUAAAGCUCUGUUGUUAGAGAAGCGGUAUCUACCCAGAAAGCCACGGCUAACUACGUGCCAGCAGCCGCGGUAAUAC
rnacentral:rRNA from 1 species